ACCUGGCUGGCUCAGUGGGUACAGCACAUGACUCUUAAUCUUGAGGUCAUGAAGUCAAGCCCCAUGUUGGGCA
rnacentral:tRNA from 1 species